AUCCAAUUGGAUUUGCAGGACUUUAGUUGCUGGUGGAGGGGCAGACGGAAGGAAAGCCUGUAAGGAGAUCAUGACAACCAGAAUGGCGUUCCUCCCACUCCAAACAGAGGACGCUACUUUAUUCCACGAGGCUUUGAUCUUUUAAGCCCCAGUUUAACAGAUUUUGACCCUUGGAUGCUGCAUCAACCAGACCGCGAGCUCUCCUCACACUCUUCAGACACAUGAUGGAGACAAUGCUGCCCUGGCCCGCUGCAGGCUCGCGCAUCAGCCCCCCAUUCAGAGUUCUCAACUGUAACAGCUUUAGACCGCAAUAUGUCACUCCUGUCCUAUAAUGCCUAACACAGGUAAAUCGUGAGACUUUGGUCAAUAAACUGGGAAAGGCUAAAUAAAAUGAAGGUAUGCGGCUGGUGGCAUUGACAUAAGAGACUAGUAGUUGAAUAGUGUAGAGGGGUGGGUAUUGAAAUGUUUAAAAAUAAAUAAUAAAUUAGGAAAGGUGGUUGGCUUUAUCAAUUCUCACUAAAUAAAUCUGCAAAAUGGGUUACAUUUGUAAAUUAUAAUUAAAUUGCACAAGAGUUGUUUCAGAUUUUCCUUUUUCUUUCCUCCACCUUUGAUGCAGUACAAAACCCCCUCGGAGGGUAGGGCUCUGUCUCUGAGAUAUUUACAUAUUAUAUAUUCUUAGGACAUAUAAUGGAAUGGUAUCAUUGUUAGAUUGCUGUUAACAUAGGCCCACUAUACUUUUUGGUAGGCUAUGCUUUCUUGUUAUACACACUGGCAAAACCAAACACUGGGCAGGUGAAUGUAGGCUCCACUAAGCUAAUUGGAUUUAACUAUCAUCGCUGUCCUACUCUAAGCCAAUCUAUUUUAGACCAAAGAAUUUUAUCUUUGAAGUGUGAGGUGGGAAGUAUUUUUUAAAUCAAGUAAAAUUAGGUAAUCCAAUCUUGGGAGAGAAAAUGAAAAUGGGAUAAAGGACAACAUUUGGUAUUAAUAUCAAUCAGCAAAGUUGAUGUCUGCUGUUGAUGACAGAUUUUGAACUUUAUAACUAUAAAAUAGAUAGUAAUAAUAGAGAUAAUGAUCAGUUGAUUAACGGAUCAGUCAAACGCACUGUCUACCAAUGAAAAUUAUAUUGACACAACUUUUUAUUUCUAAUUUGCACUUAAGCCUUGCAUCGUAAUGGGACGUUUCUGGGUCAGCAUUAUAUUGCAAGAACUUGUAUUAGGAACAACUUUUUUCAAACCGUUAUACAUAUAGCUGAACACACCCUCCAUAUCCUAAACCUCCAUAUUUUACACUAUAGUUUAGCAAAGUAUACACUAAUGUUGGAUCGGGAUCUUAAAUCCCCUGAGCAUCUCUCAGUCCUGACCAAGCCCUGAGCAAAAUGUCUCUCUCUUCCGCUUCACCUCCGGAAAAGCCCUUGAUUGUAAAAAUAACCAUUUAGUCCACCAAUCCGCGUACAACUUGCUUUGAUGUAUGUUUGCAACUUCUUAAGGCUUCAGCCAUACAUUAUUUAUUAUUGUUAUCAUUAUUGCCACAUAAUGACACAAUGCCCAGAUAGCAGUUCCAAAUUUAGAUUUAGAAAGAAAUUAACCAUAAAUAAGUAAUAAUUUCCCCAUUUCCUUUCUUCCAUGAGUGAAAGAGGGUGUGGUGUUGAGGCCAGGUAGGGAUAGAGCCUGUCACUCCCGCCUGCUCAACUUCAUCUUUAGAUCAAGCCAAGUCUUAAUUCAAGCUUUUCUGAGCUAGAAUGUAGAUAUUGUUGCACGAUAGGAUCUGGCAGCACCACAGAUGCCAUCGGAGUAUAUCGGCAGUAUCAUGGCUUCCUGGACCUGAAGGUGUCUACACCAAGUCUAACCCAGAGAGAAGUCCCCUCAGGAGCCAACUUACCAAGCAGCAACAGCUUGACUGUCUUGGAAUCCUUGUCGGCAUCCUCCUGGAGCUGUUUUUCUAACUCCUUUGACUUUUUGUCUUCGGCGCUUGCUCCUGCACCCAUUCUUUCUUCCACCUCCAAAUCAAGAUCCUCUAGAUAAGAAAUUUUGACGGUUCUCCAAGAGCUGCUCUUCGGGACUGGGUGCAGCACUAAUCGUGCCGGUGAUUUCCGAGCAGGCGGGGUACGGGGGGAGGCGCUUGAGGCUUUCUGGCUUCUUAGGCCCUUUUCGAUUAGAUGAUGAGAUAGUCUCCACUGAAGGGUCAAGUCAAUUCAAGAGUCGGUUCCGCUCCAAGAGCCAGCCUUUAAUUCUCUUUACUUAAGCCUUGUCUUAGGAGGGGCCUCUUCCUGAUUGGCCAGUCAAUCCAAUUAGCCAAAUAAGGACUGCAGUCAAGGGGGAGGAAUAAUGGGGAAAAAUUAAAACCAUUACAACUAUUACAACUUUUACUUUUUUGCAGAGAAAUGUGCAUAUUCCAAAGUCAUGGGGUUUUCCUUUCAUUUUUAUCAUUUAAAAAGUCUUAAAACGUUCAUCGCGAAUAGUGAAUGAUUGUGUUUUUUGGUCACAGUUUGGUGCAGUGGCAGUCACAGGAGAAAGCCAUUGAUGGUCAUAGCCAAUGGAGAGUCGCCUACAGGCCUAAGAGUCAGUCACAUGGAUAAUGCAGUGAAGAGGGCAUUAAAGACGAGUAAACCCAUUACGUUUAAGACGUUUAAAAAGCAGGUGGUGUGAUGAAUGC